rnacentral:lncRNA from 1 species
AAUAGUUAUUAAAGAGAUUUUAGAAGAAAAAAUUUCAACAUUUCAACCUUGAGGACAAGGUUGAUGCUCAAGAAGAAAGUAUUGUUAGGAAAGUGUCAAUAAGGGCAAAUCCAUAAAAUUGUUGAGCCAGCAAGGAUUAGGGUUGAUAAACCCUAAUCAUUGCUAUCAAGACCCGCAGCCUCCUCUGCAACCAAAACAGCCGUGCGAUCUCAGCCACGUCCGCUGAUUAUCUUUACUACUUACAACCUAUAAAAUAUCAACCCUAAUCCUUGCUAUCAAGACCCGCAGCCUCCUCUGCAACCAAAACAGCCGUGCGAUCUCAGCCACGUCCGCUGAUUAUCUUUACUACUUACAACCUAUAAAAGGCCUGAAUCUUAUGCAUGUAAUUAUUGAAGAAAUAAAAUAAAUUUUACCUCAAAUUUCUCUCUUUUUCCUUUGUCUUUCUCUCUUCUCCCCCUUUCUUUCUCUUUCUCAGUUCAGAAACCAUGUCUUAGGCUUCUGAUAAAAUGUCACAAAGAUGAGAAUAAGACCUCCUCUAAGACCUCCUGAAAAAAGAGAGAUGAGAUAGUCUCCCCAUUCCUUUGUAGAGGGAUAAAGAAAUGUCUUCAGACGAAUGAUGUGCCUUAGCCCAAAGCGAGAAUAGAAAGUCAGUUUCUCCCACAGAAAUAGGUCUUUGAGAAUUCUUGCAUUACACUCCAACCAUAACACCCAAAACUCAGCAACAAUAGCACCUCUUUGUAACAUCUUAAUCCCCUUUGCUACUCCAUCUCCUUUUAGAUGAGAAAUCAAGAAACACUUAAUAGAUUGUUGACAAACCCAGAUAAACCCAGUUAGUGUCAGAAAGUUCAGUCCAGAGCUUCCAAGUCAUCUCACAAUGCACAAAGAGAUGGCUAUGAGAUUCAUUCAUUUUGAGGCACAUCACAUAAACAUCUGGAGAAAGAACACAAAUAGCCUUAUGAGCUUGCAACAAAUCAUAAGCGUCAAGUUUAUUCAAAACAAUCAUCUGAGUAAACAU